GAGGGUAUAGUUCAGUGGUAGAAUGCCUGCUUAUCGUGCAAAAGGUCCUGGGUUCAAUCCCCAGUACUUCCG